UUUUUUUUAUUCAAAUUCUGGAUUUAUUAGAGCUUAAAAAUGAGCUGGUUGGAGUAAAAUUCUGAUGUGUAUGUGCAUUCAUUUGGCAGCAUUUUGCAGAUCUCUUUGCUGCUCAGUUCCAGUCAUUGUUGGAGAAGGAAGGAUACCGCAUAGCUAGAGAUCACAUACAACCUAUGGUUCUUAAUUCUGAUGGCCAGUCAAGUAGUCAACAUCCAGCUGUUUUCCAGUGUGACACUGCAGCAUGUGGAUCCGUUCUACAGUCAUCUCCAACAUUAAUCCCAGGACCGUCAGCUUCCACACUUCGUCCCAUGAAGAGCAGAAUGUCAGCCCGUAGCUCCUGGCAGCUAUCGUCCCAAAAUAUUCAAUCUAGAAGCCCUCUGCUACCCCCUGUAAACUUCCAGUUGCCCUUCCAAAGCUUGUCCAAUAAUUUAUCCAAACCACAGCUUGACAUUGCUGCACAAGUGAGCCCAAUGAAUCCACAAUGGCCAGAGAUUUUGAACAAACAUGCCCAUUUACAGUUUCAGAUGAUGCAAAGGCAGAGACAACAGGAGCAACUCAUGCAAAAGAAGACAUUGUUGGGAGGAUUGGAUGCAGCUAUGGGCAGUCCAGAUAUAAUGCAAUUGGAUGGUAAUAUUCACAGGAUAGGAGAUGCUGUUAUGGCCUUGGAAGGGCCCAUGAAUUCACCACAAAGGGGACAAGUUCCCUGGAUUGGCAACUUGGGGCAGUUUAAUAAUCUUGGCAGCAAUAUAUCCAGUUUGAAUGAGAGGAAAAAAUGCUUUGGCAUGAUGUCUGAUCACCCUUCUUCACUUCUGGCAAAGCUGGGGCUGGGGGCGCCAGAAGCUGUUGGGGGAGCUAUGAUGAAUCGAAUUCCAAUCCAAAGAAGCAGUGGAGGGGUACAAAUGCAGAGACCAACUAUUCCAGACAUGGCUUUUCUUUCGCAAAAUCAACCACUGCCACAGCCACAGAUACAGCAGCAGUUGCAAAUGCCAUAUUCACAACAGCAAGCAGGUAGACUUGCUGAGCAUGUGAGUUCACCCUUAGGUCAGGUUAACCUACAACAAUUUGAUCAACUACAGCAAAUUGGCACCCUGCAAUGGAGCACCAAAUCAGCAGUACAGGGGACUAAUGAUGGGAAUGCCUUGUGCCAAUGGUAGUUCCUGAAUGAAAAAUAUCAUGUUUUGGCGUGGACGGUAGGACUCUUACCAUAUGACAAUAUGGGGUGCAUGAAUUGGGAGUGUGAUGUAAAUACCCAAAUAGAUGACAUACAAACAUACAGGAAAGUGUUCCUGGCCUUGCGUCUUUUGUUGUUGUUGCCUAGACUAGUGCUGUGUGAAACAUCCGUUCUUGAAAUUUCAAAAUGGUUGGUUUUUGUUUAGUCAGUGGAUUCAACUUUGUUAAGUAUCAAUGAACUUUAAUUUAGUGGUUUUGGAGAUAUUUCUAAGGCUGUGAUGUUUUAAAUGUUUGACUAUCUAUGGAAAUGAAGAAAAAAUAAGUUUGCU
rnacentral:misc_RNA from 1 species